AUUGAACGCUGGCGGAAUGCUUUACACAUGCAAGUCGAACGGCAGUACGGACUUCGGUCUGGUGGCGAGUGGCGAACGGGUGAGUAAUGUAUCGGAACGUGCCCAGUCGUGGGGGAUAACGUAGUGAAAAUUACGCUAAUACCGCAUACGAUCUAUGGAUGAAAGCGGGGGAUCGCUAGACCUCGCGCGAUUGGAGCGGCCGAUAUCAGAUUAGGUAGUUGGUGGGGUAAGGGCCCACCAAGCCAACGAUCUGUAGCUGGUCUGAGAGGACGACCAGCCACACUGGAACUGAGACACGGUCCAGACUCCUACGGGAGGCAGCAGUGGGGAAUUUUGGACAAUGGGCGAAAGCCUGAUCCAGCCAUUCCGCGUGCAGGAUGAAGGCCCUCGGGUUGUAAACUGCUUUUGUACAGAACGAAAAGGUUUCUACUAAUACUAGGAGCUCAUGACGGUACUGUAAGAAUAAGCACCGGCUAACUACGUGCCAGCCGCCGCAGUAA
rnacentral:rRNA from 1 species